ACGGGUGAGUAACGCGUGGGAAUCUACCGUGCCCUGCGGAAUAGCUCCGGGAAACUGGAAUUAAUACCGCAUACGCCCUACGGGGGAAAGAUUUAUCGGGGUAUGAUGAGCCCGCGUUGGAUUAGCUAGUUGGUGGGGUAAAGGCCUACCAAGGCGACGAUCCAUAGCUGGUCUGAGAGGAUGAUCAGCCACAUUGGGACUGAGACACGGCCCAAACUCCUACGGGAGGCAGCAGUGGGGAAUAUUGGACAAUGGGCGCAAGCCUGAUCCAGCCAUGCCGCGUGAGUGAUGAAGGCCUUAGGGUUGUAAAGCUCUUUCACCGGAGAAGAUAAUGACGGUAUCCGGAGAAGAAGCCCCGGCUAACUUCGUGCCAGCAGCCGCGGUAAUACGAAGGGGGCUAGCGUUGUUCGGAAUUACUGGGCGUAAAGCGCACGUAGGCGGAUAUUUAAGUCAGGGGUGAAAUCCCAGAGCUCAACUCUGGAACUGCCUUUGAUACUGGGUACCUUGAGUAUGGAAGAGGUAAGUGGAAUUCCGAGCGUAGAGGUGAAAUUCGUAGA
rnacentral:rRNA from 1 species